GCAGGCGAAACUUGGGGGCAUCUUAACACCAAGUCUCUGGACUCGGGCCUGCACGUAGGAUGCCCGCCAAAAGACUUUGGCAAUAUCUGAAGCCCCUGGCGGGGGUGGAGGAUGUUUGCCAGUUGUAGGGCCACUUAUGGUUUGGACCGACUCAUGAAUUUAGACUCGAUUCGGCUGGUUUGGCUUGGGACAUGAAACAUUUCUUUUAAUAAAACCUGAACUAAACAAAACAAAAACUGUUUUCAGAGGCGUUGGGUGUCGGCUGCAACUGAGGCCGGGGAUGGUGACAGGGCUGUGCUAAUGCUCCUGCUGGGACGACAGGCUCCUGGCUAGAGGGUCUUGUCCCUCUGCUCAGGGUCCCCGUGGGGAUGGUGGGACCUGCCGGGCGGGCACCAGUUCUCCGGCCCUGCGGGGUCCAGGGAGCUACCCUCUAGCCCGCUGCUCUCUGUGUGUGCAGAGCAUUCGUUGGAGGCAAAGGAAGAUACUGGGAAGAGCCAAGCUGGGAGCAGCUUGGGGACACGUGGAGGAGACACCACCAUGCCAGUGCACACAGCCCAGACCUGCACGUCCUGCACCAUCCUGGAUCUCUGAGGAGCCUGAGGAAAUGGAGGACCCUGACACUGCCUUCAUGCAACCUCCCAGCCAUGCUGCCGUGGGG